UCCGGUUUGGCACCGGCAGUCUCCCUAGAGUUCCCGGCAUCACCCGCUGGCAACUAAGGACAGGGGUUGCGCUCGUUGCGCCACUUAAGGCAACACCUCACGGCACGAGCUGACGACAGCCAUGCACCACCUGUGCAGGCUCCGAAGAGCACCCGCUUUCACGGGUUUCACCCUGCAUGUCAAGCCCAGGUAAGGUGGGGAUGACGUCUGCGUAACAGAA
rnacentral:misc_RNA from 1 species